GCUUAGCCGUAAAACAUCUAUUCACAAUAAAACCGCCUGGGAAUUACGAGCCCAAGCUUAAAACCCAAAGGACUUGACGGUGUCCCAUCCACCUAGAGGAGCCUGUUCUAUAAUCGAUACCCCCCGAUCCACCCCACCGCCCCUUACAAAUUCAGCCUGUAUACCUCCGUCGAAAGCUCUCCGUGUGAACGCACUUAGUUAGCCCAAAGAUUUAUCAUCCAAACGUCAGGUCAAGGUGCAGCCAAUGAGGCGGAAAGAAAUUGGCUACAAUCUCUACUUUAGAACAAACGGAAGACCACUGCAACACGGUCAUUGAAGGCGGAUUUAGUAGUAAAAAGAAAAUAGAGAGUUCUUUUUAACCGAGCCCUGGGACGCGUACACACCGCCCGUCACCCUCUUCCAAUCAUCAACNNUUGUACCUAACACUACACUUCAACCACAGAAGAGGCAAGUCGUAACACGGUAAGCGUACUGGAAAGUGCGCUUGGAACAA
rnacentral:rRNA from 1 species